AAUAGUCUUUUAAUUGAAGGCUGGAAUGAAUGGUCGGACAAGAUACAAGCUGUCUUAAAUUUAAAUCUUAAAUUUUACUUUUAAGUGAAAAGGCUUAAAUUAUUUAAAGUGACGAUAAGACCCUAUAAAGCUUUAUAUUGAGCAAGGUUAGUUUUAUAUAUAAGGUAUAAAUUUAAUUUUUCUUCUAAUAUUGCAUUGGGGCGAUGAGAAUUUAAUAAGUAACAGUUGUAAAUUAAAAAUAAAUGAUAUUUAGAAUAGGAGAUCCUUUAUAAAGAUUAUAAGAAAAAGUUACUUUAGGGAUAACAGCGUGAUUUUUUCAGAGAGUUCAUAUCGAUGAAAGUAGUUGCGACCUCGAUGUUGAAUUAAGAUUUCUUUAGGGUGCAGUUGUUCUAAAGUGUAGGUCUGUUCGACCUUUAAAAUCUUA
rnacentral:rRNA from 1 species